rnacentral:sRNA from 1 species
UGAUUAGUAAGGUCUUCGGCAUUGCUGU